rfam:Parasutterella excrementihominis CAG:233 genomic scaffold, scf242
UGGUAGUAACAACGAAUGGCAAGAAGUCAGCAGGUGCCAUAGUACUCAUGAGUAUUGAGGAAGGGC